rnacentral:rRNA from 1 species
UUCGAUUAUGGCUCAGAUUGGUCUUUGGCGGGAUGCUUUACACAUGCAAGUCGAACGGCACGGACUUCGGUCUGGUGGCGAGUGGCGAACGGGUGAGUAAUGUAUCGGAACGUGCCUAGUGGCGGGGGAUAACUACGCGAAAGCGUAGCUAAUACCACAUACGCCCUUCGAGGGAAAGCAGGGGACCUUCCGGGCCUCACUAUUAGAGCGGCCGAUAUCCAGUUAGCUAGUUGGUGGGGUAACGGCUCACCAAGGCGACGAUCCGUAGCUGGUUUGAGGAGGACGACCAGCCACACUGGGACUGAGACACGGCCCAGACUCCUACAGGAGGCAGCAGUGGGGAAUUUUGGACAAUGGGAAGCACGAUCCAGCCAUCCCGCGUGUCCGAUGAAGGCCUUCGGGUUGUAAAGCACUUUUGGCAGGAAAGAAACGGCACCGGGAUAAUACCCGUGCAACUGACGGUACCUGGGAAUAGCAUAAACUGUUUUCGUGCCAGCGGCCGGUAAUACGUAAGUGCAAGCGUUAAUCGGAAUUACUGGGCGUAAAGCGUGCGCAGGCGGUUCCGGAAAGAAAGAUGUGAAAUCCCAGAGCUUAACUUUAGACUGCAUUUUUAACUACCGAGCUAGAGUGUGUCAGAAGUGGAAUUCCGCGAUGUGAUGAAAUGCGUAGAUAUGCGGAGGAACACCGAUGGCGAAGGCAGCCUCCUGGGAUAACACUGACGCUCAUGCACGAAAGCGUGGGGAGCAAACAGGAUUAGAUACCCUGGUAGUCCACGCCCUAAACUUGAUGUCAACUAGCUGUUGGGGCCUUCGGGCCUUGGUAGCGCAGCUAACGCGUGAAGUUGACCCGCCUGGGAGGCCGGUCGCAAAGAUUAAAACUCAAAGGAAUUGACGGGGACCCGCACAAGCCGGUGGAUGAUGUGGAUUAUUCGAUGCAACAUAAGAAAAACACCCUACCACUUGACAUAUCUGGAAUCCGAAGAGAUUUGGGAGUGCUCGCAAGAGAACCGAACCACAGGUGCUGCAUGGCUGUCGUCAGCUCCGUGUCGUGAGAUGUUGGGUUGUCCACUAGGCUUCGCAACCCUUGUCAUUAGUUGCUGCGAAAGGGCACUCUAAUGAGACUGCCGGUGACAAACCGGAGGAAGGUGGGGAUGACGUCAAGUCCUCAUGGCCCAUAUGGGUAGGGCUUCACACGUCAUACAAUGGUCGGGACAGAGGGUCGCCCACGAGGGAGCCAAUCCCAGAAACCCGAUCGUAGUCCGGAUCGCAGUCUGCAACUCGACUGCGUGAAGUCGGAAUCGCUAGUAAUCGCGGAUCAGCAUGUCGCGGUGAAUACGUUCCCGGGUCUUGUACCGUCACCAUGGGAAUUAGGUUUUGCAGAAAUGAUUAAGCCUAACCGUAAGGAGGCGAUUACCACGACCAGGAUU